rnacentral:rRNA from 1 species
GUCUACGGCCAUACCACCCUGAACGCACCCGAUCUCGUCUGAUCUCGGAAGCUAAGCAGGGUCGGGCCUGGUUAGUACUUGGAUGGGAGUAAGCAGAAUAAUGGCCCCCAAGACC